ACUGCAUUUCCCAGUGCCCCUUGCCAGUGGCCGUGUGUCUAGUUUUCGCCAAUGAAAUGCAAAUGAGAGUACUAUGUGGGUCUUCUGGGAAGGUUCUUUAAAGGGUAUUGACUGUGCCCUGAGGUCCUUCUUCAUCCCUCCUUCCCAAUGCCUGAAACGCACAUGUGUUGCCAGGAGCAUCAAUAGUCAUCUUGGACUUUGAGGCUAUAAACUGUGUGUGAGAUGAUGACGGAGAAAGAAGGAACUUUGGUCCCUGAUGACUGUGGACCUGCUGUAUCUGCCCUGGGCUGCCUAGCUCUGACUUAUAUGGGAGAUAAACUUCUACCUUACUGAAGUUUCUCUUACCAACUCGUAAGCACAAUCCUAACUAUAAUAAUAGCUCAUGCUUAUAUUGUGCUUUAUCAAAGCUAGCCGUCUGCCACACACUUUUCUGGAAGCAAAGAGAGGUCCAGGGGCUUUUCUGGAAGCAAAGAGAGGUCCAGGGGCUUGCCCAAGGUCACAUAGCUAGGAGUGGCAGAGCCAACAUCACGCAGCUAGUAAGAGUUAGACGUGGGAGUAGAACUCAGGUCUGUCUGACGCCCAAAUCCAUGCAACACGUGUAUUACCCUUGUAGCAACUGUAACUGUCUGUGUGGCCUCCUUCAUACUCAGUGUGAAUGUGGGGCCCUUUGUGCUUUUCCUUACCUUCAUUUGACUGUCUGCUUUAACUCACAACGUGGAGGGCCACUAGCUGGGGGACAUGAGAAAGACACCCAUGGUUUCUCCGGAAGAUCAAAGCAGCCUUAUUGGGACCCACCUAAGGUCCCUAAACUCCUUAGUGAAACCUCCCAAAGAAAUGCCAUGGAUGGAUUCCAAAAAGUUAAUUAUUUUAAGAAAGGCUUCAUGAAAUCCCGUUUGCCGUUACUGCCAUUACAACAUUGUUUUGCUUCUUUCAUCAAGUGGAACCCCGUCAUAAACAGAAUGGAGCGCUCCAUCCACCCGUCCGUCCACUCAGCAAACGGUCGGCAGCUGCUCUCCGCCAGGCACUCUGCCCGGGGGUGGGAUCGCGCAGCAAUGACAGGCCUUCACAUUCUGCAGAGAGCGAGGCAGAAAAUUAACAAACACACGAGAGAAUAUCAGGGUGCACAGAGCUGCCAAAGACCACCCACCACUACCACCACCCUUGAAGGAACCCUCCAACGACAGGAGAAAAUGAAGUCAACUCAAGGAGAGAAACAGGAUGAGAGGUAG
ensembl:lncRNA